rnacentral:rRNA from 1 species
UACGGAGGGGGCAAGCGUUAUUCGGAAUUAUUGGGCGUAAAGGGCGCGUAGGCGGCUAAAUGUGUCAAAGGUGAAAUCCCUCGGCUCAACUGAGGAACUGCCUUUGAAACUGUCUGGCUUGAGGCCGGGAGAGGGUAGCGGAAUUCCCAGUGUAGCGGUGAAAUGCGUAGAUAUUGGGAGGAACACCAGUGGCGAAGGCGGCUACCUGGACCGGUUCUGACGCUGAGGCGCGAAAGCGUGGGUAGCAAACAGG